UACGUAGGGUGCGAGCGUUAAUCGGAAUUACUGGGCGUAAAGGGUGCGCAGGCGGCCAUGCAAGUCGAGUGUGAAAGCCCCGGGCUUAACUUGGGAAUUGCGCUCGAAACUACGUGGCUGGAGUGUGGCAGAGGAAGGUGGAAUUCCACGUGUAGCGGUGAAAUGCGUAGAGAUGUGGAGGAACACCAAUGGCGAAGGCAGCCUUCUGGGCCAACACUGACGCUCAUGCACGAAAGCGUGGGGAGCAAACAGG
rnacentral:rRNA from 1 species